UACGUAGGGUGCAGGCGUUAAUCGGAAUUACUGGGCGUAAAGGGCGCGUAGGCGGUUUGACCAGUCAGGUGUGAAAUUCCCGGGCUUAACCUGGGGGCUGCACUUGAUACUGUCAGGCUUGAAUUCGGGAGAGGAUAGCGGAAUUCCCAGUGUAGAGGUGAAAUUCGUAGAUAUUGGGAAGAACACCGGUGGCGAAGGCGGCUAUCUGGACCGACAUUGACGCUGAGGCGCGAAAGCCAGGGGAGCAAACGGG
rnacentral:rRNA from 1 species